rnacentral:lncRNA from 1 species
CAGCAAUGCUAGCGAUGCUAAACCGUCGUUGUUCGUUGUUAAUCGUACAUAUGUUUUCAACAGAUCUCUCUGCGGUAGCACCCGCGAGAUGUAAUCCAGCGUGUUCGCCAUCAAGCGACCUCCCGAUUGAAUUUGUCAAAAUUACAUGACAAGUCAGUUUCGUAUGUUUCAAACAAUGCUGCGAUUUGUUCGUUUGUUGUAUUUCCUACAACACCAGGAAGCAAAUAUGCGCAAAGCAGUGAUUUUUCUGAAUUCUCAAUUAACCGUCCAAUGGCCAAAAUCCGAAAAACAAACCAUUUUCCGGUACCACGAUUUCCCGAGAAAUUCAAGAAAAACAUUAUACCCCCAAAACAAACUGAUAUAUCCCGAGAAAAAGACUUUUAUUUUUUACUUCUAAUGGCCGAUUGGUACAUCGCAUUCCCAACAGAUAAAC